rnacentral:rRNA from 1 species
GAUGAAUGCUGGCGGCGUGCCUAACACAUGCAAGUCGAGCGGCAGCGCAGUCUUCGGACUGGCGGCGAGCGGCGGACGGCUGAGUAACGCGUGGGAACGUACCCCAAAGUGAGGAAUAACCGCCCGAAAGGGUGGCUAAUGCCGCAUAUGGUCUUCGGAUUAAAGGAUUUAUCCGCUUUGGGAACGGCCUGCGUACGAUUAGCUAGUUGGUGAGGUAAUGGCUCACCAAGGCGACGAUCCCUAGCUGGUCUGAGAGGAUGAUCAGCCACACUGGAACUGAGACACGGUCCAGACUCCUACGGGAGGCAGCAGUGGGGAAUAUUGCACAAUGGGGGAAACCCUGAUGCAGCCAUGCCGCGUGUGUGAAGAAGGCCUUCGGGUUGUAAAGCACUUUCAGCGAGGAGGAAAGGUUGAUGCCUAAUACGUAUCAACUGUGACGUUACUCGCAGAAGAAGCACCGGCUAACUCCGUGCCAGCAGCCGCGGUAA